AGUGAACGCUGGCGGUAGGCCUAACACAUGCAAGUCGAACGGCAGCACAGUAAUAGCUUGCUCUUACGGGUGGCGAGUGGCGGACGGGUGAGGAAUACAUCGGAAUCUACUUUUUCGUGGGGGAUAACGUAGGGAAACUUACGCUAAUACCGCAUACGACCUACGGGUGAAAGCAGGGGAUCUUCGGACCUUGCGCGAUUGAAUGAGCCGAUGUCGGAUUAGCUAGUUGGCGGGGUAAAGGCCCACCAGGGCGAGGAUCCGUAGCUGGUCUGAGAGGAUGGUCAGACACAUGGGAAGUGAGACACGGUCCAGACUCCUACGGUAGGAAGCAGUGGGGAAUAUUAGACAAUGGGCGCGAGCCUGAUCCAGCCAUACCGCGUGGGUGAAGAUGGCCUUCGGGUUGGAAAGCCAUUUUGUUGGGAAAGAAAAGCAGCAGGUUAAUACCCCGCUGUUCUGACGGUACCCAAAGAAGAAGCACCGGCUAACUUCGUG
rnacentral:rRNA from 1 species